rnacentral:lncRNA from 1 species
UAAUGGAAGCAAUUUGUAACUUUCAGUAGCUCUCUAGGCCUGGGUACCGGAGGGAGGGAGGCGGGCAGAGGAGGGGAGAUGGGCACCCCCAGUCUUUCCAUCCUCCUCAUUCGUCUAGGGGCACCCGAAUCCCCUAUUCCUUAUUUCCCCUAUCACUCAGGCACUGGCAGGGUCCUUUGCCCACUCCUGUUGGCCGCUGCGGCUCCAAAGCGAGCUGGGCAGAUGUGCCUGAGACAGGUUUGACCAGGCAACUGAAAAGACAUCCCUAAGAGAAGACAAAGCAAAGGUAUGAAAGGAACACACGUCCCUGACUGACUAGGAGGAACAGAGCUGCCUGCUAUCCGGAACAACUUCCUCCCAGACUAAGUGAGAAAUAAACUUCUGUUUUCUAUA